AAAUUGAAGAGUUUGAUCAUGGCUCAGAUUGAACGCUGGCGGCAGGCCUAACACAUGCAAGUCGAACGGUAACAGGAAGAAGCUUGCUUCUUUGCUGACGAGUGGCGGACGGGUGAGUAAUGUCUGGGAAACUGCCUGAUGGAGGGGGAU
rnacentral:rRNA from 1 species